GCCCGCUUGUCCCAGUGGUAAGGAGUGUCACUCGUAUAUUCAAUGUGCAAUGACAAGAUCAGUUGUUCGAAUCAGCUAGUGGGCA